UUUUCAACAAUCCUAGCAGACCAUUUAUCUGAUUUCCCUUUCGCACAGCCGCCCCCUCCCCUCUAACCCUUUUAAUUUUCAUUCACACUUCUCGACCCUGGUAAGAGUUGAGUUCGUUGAUCCCAGGCCAGGUCGUUGUAAAGGCAGUCAGGGUUGACGUCAUCGUUAAGGCUCAGAGUUGGAGUGUUAAAUGCUUGUUUCCUCAUAGAUACAAGAUCUAUUUUGGUUUACAGAGGUAAAACAGCUUAUGGACACGCACAAUUUGAAUCUCCCACCUGAAACAAAACCCUAGAAGAAGGGGAGAGGAUUGUGACUCCCAGCAGACAACCUGGCGGCACCCUUAGAAAAUCCAUUUGGAUUCGGGCUGGUUAUACCCCCAAGACAAAGUCGCCGUCUACCAAUCUAAAGGGGCCCUGUGAAGAAAGGAAAUGCAGACUCAAGAGGUUCCUCCA